UACGUAGGGCGCAAGCGUUGUCCGGAAUUAUUGGGCGUAAAGAGCUCGUAGGCGGUUUGUCGCGUCUGCUGUGAAAGUCCGAGGCUCAACCUCGGAUCUGCAGUGGGUACGGGCAGACUAGAGUGUGGUAGGGGAGACUGGAAUUCCUGGUGUAGCGGUGGAAUGCGCAGAUAUCAGGAGGAACACCAAUGGCGAAGGCAGGUCUCUGGGCCAUAACUGACGCUGAGGAGCGAAAGCGUGGGGAGCGAACAGG
rnacentral:rRNA from 2 species